rnacentral:rRNA from 1 species
UACGUAGGCAGCAAGCGUUGUUCGGAGUUACUGGGCGUAAAGGGUGCGUAGGCGGCUUCUUAAGUCUGGUGUGAAAUCUCCCGGCUCAACUGGGAGGGUGCGCCGGAUACUGAGGGGCUAGAGUGUGGGAGAGGAAAGUGGAAUUCCUGGUGUAGCAGUGAAAUGCGUAGAUAUCAGGAGGAACACCGAUGGCGAAGGCAGGUCUCUGGGCUGACACUGACGCUCAUGCACGAAAGCGUGGGGAGCAAACAGG